GUGACAUUUAAAAAUAAAACUGUUAAAGCAAUCUUUCAAAUAUAGCCAAAAGAAUUUAAAAAAAAAAAAAAAAAAAGAGUGACCUAAUACCCACCAAAAUCUACCUUUAAAAGGACAUGAAUAAGUUCUUUAACAGUUGUACCUUUCUUUAACUCUUUUUCCUCCUUGAAUGAACUUUUUAAAUUCUACCUCAUAUAUAGAAUUUUAUUCUAAUUUAAUAUAGCUUUAUUUUUAAAUAUAUCAAUCACUAUAACUUCAAAUUUUUAUUAUCAUAAGCUCCAUGUGUAGAAUUUUUUUCUCAAGAGAUCACUAAAAUAGAACUAGUGCAUAAAUUAAGAUAAUUAGUAGGCAUAAAAUGUGAAAUUUUACUUCACAUUGUAUAUACCUCUUAGAAGAAUAAAUGGAGCUGAGUUUUCUCUUUUUCCCAUUAAUUCUUAUACCUGUAAGUGAACACUACUUCUUUAAAAAAAUUUUUUUUUAGUUGUUGAUAGACCUGUAUUUUAUUUAUUUAUAUGUGGUGCUGAGAAUUGAACCCAGUGCCUCACACAUGCUAGGCAAGUGCUCUACCACUGAGCCACAAACCCAGCCCCAACAUUACUUCUUGCUACAAUGAACAGGCUCAGGACCAGGCCAUUACAAUACAUUGAUUGCAAAGAUGUGAACCCAGGAAGGAAAGCUGUUCUAGUUAUGUUUUCUCAUUCUAUGACUUUUUCUGAAUUCUGUGUAACAAUUGAAUAAUGAUCUAUCAUCAGAAAUUAUUUUUAUCAACCUAUCAGCUGAAACAAAUAAUUGGAAAUUAUCUGACAAAAAAUAGGUAGCGUUCAGUAAUGACUUUUGCUUUUUUAACCUGGGAGGACUAUUUCCCAGUAAAAAGGCUUUACUAAGACUCAUCACAGGAUUAUUAAUCACAUCUCAUUUUUUUUUCAAUGAAGUUUUCUUGUAGAGCUAAAUUAGACAAAAUGGAGAAAAUAACUAAAAAUUUGAAAAAUUCAAAUUUUAGGAUUUUCCUAGUAAACUGAUAAAAGUUUGACCGUGAAUCUCUCUAAAUCAAAAGCUAAAUUUCUGUUUUCUAGAUUGUCUCAAAGUUAUUCAGUGACACAUGCCUUUGAGAAGUAUUAAAUAUAAAUGAUUUCAUUUGUUGUUUGAAACUAAUAAUAAAAUAUUAAAAUAAUUUAGAUGAAAAUAUCUAGAAAUGGUAAC
rnacentral:lncRNA from 1 species